rnacentral:sRNA from 1 species
GGGACAUGCAACGAGUUAUUUUGAUGCUUUUUACCCUUAAUGGAAGAAAGUGGGAUUGAGAUGUUGGUUGUGCUGUUUGCCAGGGUGUAGGACAGACCAAGAGGUUGUUUACCCUGGAAACUUGGCCCUUGGAAUUUUAUGUUAUUCCUUUGCUCUGUUAGCCGUGGUUUUCUCCAACCAAUCUUUUCACCUCAUCUGGGGCCAUAGCUCCUCGAUCGGAGUUUCAACAUGGCGCCUGCUUCUCGCUUCAUUAUCCUCUGGCCGAGCGUGAAUGAUGACAGCCGCUGCGUGGUCAGAUCACUGGUUGGUUGUUCCAACUGAUUGUGAGUGAAUCUGGGUGCUCAAGCCUAACAAUCGCAUGUCACCCUCAUAAUUCGUCUUUUGGCUUUUCAGUCAACUCUCUCUGUCCAACCUUUCUUGCUGCCACAGUGCACGUACAGUGGGAAGUGAUUCCCGUGGCACAUUGUGGGAAAUUCCAGCCCCUUCCACCAACCAGUAGCACAGAGGGCACUUCUAUAUAAAAACACAUCCAUCAAAUCUGAACAUGCCCGGCACCAUCAAGCGGAACACAUAAAUAGUCAACCCCCGAGAACCUGUAGUUUGUUGUUGCAGAGUUUAAUAAAUAUGCCAGUACUCUGAAAAAAAAAAUUCAACGUCGUCACUGUCUUUGUGAACUGGCUGACUGUUGUUAUAGGUCCAUAACGACUAGAAGCGGGUUGAUGGGCCAUUGAAUAAGGGUAUUUUCUGUAGCUAGUCAGUUAGCAAGUGCUGAUGUGAUGUGAGAAGGAAAUAAGUGCUUGAUGAUCCAUUAGAAAUUUCGCAGUAGCCCCUGGAUAACAAGUCGAACGAAAUAAGCAAUC